UAUGGAUUGAUAAUUUGUCUUUCUUGUAUUCUGCCCUGUUUUGUGGCUCCUCUGCUCCCCUAUUUUCUAUCAUAAUGCACUUUUUUUAAAGAUAAAUUUUUAAAAAUGACAUGGUAUAAGGCCACGGUCUGUGAAUCGAAUCUUAUAACAUGACAAUAUUUUGGCUUACAAAAUAUACUGUUAUUUGGAAUCUUAUUGAGAAUUGGCACGGUAUGCCCACUCCAAUCUUAUAAAGGCCUCUUCUCCUCAUGCCUGUUAUAUCUAGUUUAUUCAAAAUGGCCUAGAUUUUGUCUUCUCCCCUCAUUUCGGUUUCUGAGGCUAGCACUAAAUCCCGAGGAUGGAUUCAAACAAAAGUCCAUGGGUCUUCGCCUUUUGGAAAUUACUCACGCACAAAGAGUCCGGCUUGCCACAACAUGCCAUCUAAUGUUCUUGUCGGAGAAGAUACGAAAACACUUAAGGGCUCCUUUGGAUGAGAUAGAUAAGAGAAUAGAGGAAUUGUUUGCAGAGAUCAAAAUGCUCUUAAAUUUUGGUGGAAGAUGGGGAAAUAAGUCCCUCUGAAUAUGAUACUGCGUGGGUAGCGAGAGUUCCUGCCAUUAAUGGCUCCGGUGCACCCCAAUUUCCCCAAAUGGUGGACUGGAUUCUUCAGAAUCAGUUACUGGAUGGUUCCUGGGGAGACAAGAGUCGUUCUUUAUCGUGUGAUAGACUACUCAACACUCUUGCCUGCGUAGUUAAUCUAACUAUCAGGAGCGUUGGUAACGAUCAAGUGAACAGAGGUACUGGGGCGAAAGAGGCGUUAGGGAUAUUGAUCUCACAGCCACGGGCUUCAGGCUUCUCAGGAUUUUCGGAUACGCUGUAUCUUCUGACGUUCUGCAAAACAUGAAAGGCGAGGCUGACGAGAUUUGUAAGCUGUCUGGUGUUGAAAAUGGCGCAGGAAUAACCGCUAUAUUGAAUCUGUAUAGAAGCUCAUAGCUUAAUUUCCCGGGCGAAAAUGUAAUGAGAGAAAUAAAAAGCAUUUACGAAAGAUUACUUGAGCAAAUGGCUGGAAAGAGAGAACUUUUCUCAGGCGAAGGCUGUUAAGGAAAGCCUUUGCCAAGAGAUAAUGGGAAUUGUUGCCUUCUCUGAUUUUUUUAUCUUUGAUUUACUACUGAACAUAAUAAUAUAGCUGUCAUGGGCCUCUGUAAUAAAUGAUCAAUCUAUCUGAACGAGCACGGGAGAUUCAAGGUCGUGAUGUGCUUCCUUACCUGCACCAACAGGAUUCAGUGGUUGAAUCAUCUGUUCAGUUUGACAAAAGAAAGAGAAUGGAUGUUAAAAAGUUACUCGCCCUCGUUCGAUGAAUAUAUGAAGAAUGGCUUAGCGUCGGUAGCACUGGAAGUAACUACCCUGACGACAAUAUUUUCUACGGGAGAGAUUCUUUCUGAUAACAUUCUCGAGAAGCUUGACUUUCGAGAAGCUUGAUUAUGGUGUAUUGUUUUAUAAAAAUAAAGUCACAACGAUAAAAUUA